rnacentral:rRNA from 1 species
GUUAACGCCGUGCCCGCAGGAGCGGUGAUGGGGAGGGGGCUAGGGUGGUGCGUAAGUCCUGGGCGUACAGGGAACGUAGGCGGCUUUGUGAGUUAGGGGUGAAAGCCCAGGGCUCGACCCUGGAAUUGCCGUUAAGACUGCAUCGCCUGAAGAUCGGAGAGGUAAGUGGAAUUCCGAGUGUAGAGGUGAAAUUCGUAGAUAUUCGGAAGAACACCAGUGGCGAAGGCGACUUACUGGACGAUUGUUGACGCUGAGGUGCGAAAGCGUGGGGAGCAAACAGGAUUAGAUACCCGAGUAGUC